CAGCAGUCGGGAAUUUUGCACAAUGGCCGAAAGCGCGACGCAGCGACGCCGCGUGAGUGAAGAAGGCCUUCGGGUUGUAAAGCUCUGUCAAGCGGGAAGAACAGUCCUGCACUAAAUGCUUGUAGUACUGACGGUACCGUAGAGGAAGCCCCGGCUAACUACGUG
rnacentral:rRNA from 1 species